rnacentral:lncRNA from 1 species
CUCAAUUGCUAAACUGACUUGCUGGCUUUACUAGCUAACUUAUACUAAAACAUAUGCUCGAAUUAGAGAAAAAGAUCUAACAAUGCAUACUAUGAACAUGAAAGACUGGUAACAUACUCGAAUUUAAGUCAGGGAAACUUUUUGGAUUAGGAUGGGUCUAGAGUGCAUAAAGUCUAUUCUGAUGUUGACCACUAUUGGUACCUUGCUGACGCAACUCCUUACCCCUCUGUGGUAGAAAUCUACACUCUCACAUCCUGUGGCCUGGUUUGCCACACCCAAAGCAUACAUCACUACCUGCCAUACAUGUACCUAGAUGAUUCUU